CUUUCCCUAAAGCUUUACAGGCAAGAGUGAACCAAAGAAAUGUCUAUAUGCUUUUUGUAAAACUGAAUUCUCGUAUAAAUUUAUCUUCAAACAAGGGUGGGAAUAAAAACACUGAUGCACCCAGAGAGAGAGAAUAAAAACACUGAUGCACCCAGAGAGAGAAUAAAAACACUGAUGCACCCAGAGAGAGAGAGAAUAAAAACACUGAUGCACCCAGAGAGAGAGAAUAAAAACACUGAUGCACCCAGAGAGAGAAAAAAAAACAGCUAUCAAUUGCACUUAUUAUACCGCCAGCCAAAACAUUUGUAUACCACCCAAACCAUAUAUACAACUAGCAGAGUUAUGAUUAAUCGGAGCUCAUGCACAUUCAUCCAUUUCUUCGACAAAUCUACAGAUAAGAUAGUGGCAGGAAAUGUUAUCUAAAGGUUGCGCAAGAAAAAUAUGAUCAUGUCCAAAAACAAAAAAUCACAUGACUGUGGAGAAGCGAACUUGAUUUAGCAAAACUCUCCACAUGUCCUCUGUAAAUGAUUGCAAAACAAAAUACAAAAGUUGUUUUUAAUAUUAUGAUUUCAUAUAAAACAACAUUCACACCUCAGAGACAGGAAGUCAGUCAAUUACAUUAAGUAUGUGUGGUCUCAUACAUCUUUGGCAUUUUUAUAUACAAGACUUCACACUAUAAUUUCAAUGAGAAAAUGUCCUUUGCUCUUUGUAAUUGCUAUGCAUAGAAAAUAAGCAAAAUAUGUCUUAGUCCCUAUUGCUUCUUUUUUAUUAAGAUGACAGAUAUAGCCAUGGAUCAGUGACAUGGUUAUAAUGUCACAUAGGUUUAGAGACAAUGCAUUGUUGCAUGUUAACAGCAGAAGUGUGUGAUUGGUGUCUGAUCUGUUAAAACAACAUCCAUUAUUCAGACACUACACACUCCAGUGGAGAUAAGGGCCGGUCCACUAACAAUUUAACAA
rnacentral:lncRNA from 13 species